UACGAAGGGGGCUAGCGUUGCUCGGAAUCACUGGGCGUAAAGCGCACGUAGGCGGAUUGUUAAGUCAGGGGUGAAAUCCUGGAGCUCAACUCCAGAACUGCCUUUGAUACUGGCGAGCUUGAGUUCGGGAGAGGUGAGUGGAACUGCGAGUGUAGAGGUGAAAUUCGUAGAUAUUCGCAAGAACACCAGUGGCGAAGGCGGCUCACUGGCCCGAUACUGACGCUGAGGUGCGAAAGCGUGGGGAGCAAACAGGG
rnacentral:rRNA from 1 species